UGUUGCAAGCGAGGUUAAGGUGUUAAGCACUGAAGCCGAAGGGAGACCGAGUGUGAAUAGCGCGUACAGUUUGCAGUAUACGACCCGAAACCGGGUGACCUAACCAUGGACAGGUUGAAGUGGAAGUAAAAUUCCAUGGAGGACCGAACCCACGUCUGUUGAAAAAGGCGGGGAUGAGCUGUGGUUAGCGGUGAAAUUCCAAUCGAACUCGGAGAUAGCUGGUUCUCCUCGAAAUAGCUUUAGGGCUAGCCUCAGGAUAGUUUAGCGGAGGUAAAGCACUGAAUGGGCUAGGGGGCUUCACGGCUUACCGAACCCUAUCAAACUCUGAAUGCCGCAUAAAUGUUUCCUGGGAGUCAGACUGCGUGAGAUAAGUUUCGUAGUCAAAAGGGAAAGAGCCCAGACCUACAGCUAAGGUCCCUAAAUGAAUUUAAGUGGAAAAGGAUGUGCAGUUGCGUAGACAACUAGGACGUUGGCUUAGAAGCAGCCACUCAUUUAAAGAGUGCGUAAUAGCUCACUAGUCGAGUGAUUGUGCGCCGAAAAUGUAACGGGGCUAAAAUUCAUACCGAAGCUUAGGCUUUGCACACUUUGUGUGCGAGGGGUAGAUGAGCGUUGUGUAAGUCUGCGAAGCUACACCGAAAGGAGUAGUGGAGAUAUCACAAGUGAGAAUGCCGGAAUGAGUAGCGAGAAUUAUGUGAGAAUCAUAAUGGCCGAAAAUCUAAGGUUUCUUGAGGAAGGUUCGUCCGCUCAAGGUAAGCCGGGAGCUAAGGCGAGGCCGAGAGGCGUAGUCGAUGCACAUACGGUAAAGAUUCCGUAGCCACCGAAGUCGUUAAAUACAGGGACACAGGAACAUAGCCCAUCCCCACCGUUGGUUGAGUGGGGCGUAAGGGAGCGAAAAUUAGUAGCGAAGUGGGUGAUUGUACACUGGCGAGAAAAGCUGUAUGAAUUGACCAGGUGCCCGUACCGCAAACCGACACAGGUAGAUGAGGAGAGAAUCCUAAGACCAGCGGGAGAAGUGUUGUUAAGGAACUCGGCAAAAUGACCCCGUAACUUCGGGAUAAGGGGAGCCUACGCGAGUAGGCCGCAGAGAAUAGUCUCAAGCGACUGUUUAGCAAAAACACAGGUCUAUGCUAAAUCGAAAGAUGAUGUAUAUGGGCUGACGCCUGCCCGGUGCUGGAAGGUUAAGGGGAAGUGUUAGAGCAAUCGAAGCACUAAACUUAAGCCCCAGUAAACGGCGGCCGUAACUAUAACGGUCCUAAGGUAGCGAAAUUCCUUGUCAG
rnacentral:rRNA from 1 species